AGCUGACCUAGAAGGAAAAAUCAACAGGAGAAUUAAGGGAAUGCUGGAAGUGCCCUAGAGACUCAGCCAGCUGACAAAACACUUCAAAAGGCCUGCAACACAGAAGAAAGUCGGGACUCAACUUGGUAAGCAGAGGAAGAUUGCGAUGACACCAACCUUUUAGUGGGAGGAAUGAAUCUCAGAAGAAGAAAUUCAGCUGGUAUAUAAAAUCUGGAGCUGUUUUCACAAAACUGUCUGGAUUUUUGCGUUAUCCCCACUUCAGCUCCCUGGCUGGAAAGCUACCAGCUGGAAAAGCAGCGGCCUCCAUCCUUCCAGGACUCUGAAUACCCUCAGUUAACAACAAACUUUAAGAAUUUAACCUCUCUUUCCCUGUUAGUCAGGUGGUUGUCCUAACAAAAACCAGCUACAGCUGUAGGUAGGUUUUUUUCUGACCCUGUUAAGGGCCAGAAUACAUUCAGCUGUUCAAUUCUCAAGUACUAUCUGCUUUCAAACAAGAGCUUCAAAGACCGAUUUGAAUCAAAACCUCAAAGCCAGGAAGGAAUCUCGUUCUGUUUUGCUAAUACAAAUCACACCAGUAAACUAAACAGCGUUUUCCAGGCUCCUUUGUAUCAUCUCAAAGGAGGAGAUUGGCCAAAGAAGUGUCAAACACCAGAAAUUUUCAGGAGGCGACAGAUUUGUUUGGAUUGUGCCAAAUCCAAACGAGAUUAUCAAGUCUACCAUGCAAAAAAAUGAAAUAAAAUAAAAUAAAGAAGAGCAUGCAUCUUUCACAUCUGAUGAAGCUUUCACCCCAAAUCAAAGGGCAUAUCCUGCUCGAGGCAAGUCAUUGUGGCCCCAAAUUAAGUCCCAACAGGGUGCCAGGCUCCACAGGACCACAAUCCACGUCCUACAACUCAUCUCAUCGCAUCUCAAACCUUGAUCCGGAGCAGAGGUGCUUUAGAGCACACGGGCUGUGAGUACCUCGCUUUAGACAUAAAAACCUCUGAAAUUUUUCCAGUUCACAAGCACAUAAAGCCUGGAAGCAUAAAAAAUGCGCAGGGAAGCUUCAAGUCACCCAGUAAACGCAAAGUGUAUGUUUCUACUUACUCAUCCAAUUCCUGACAUUUAAGAAGCUCUGUUGACUGGUGAGAUCAAACAUCAGUAAAAAGCCCAUAGCAUCUCUGAAAAACGCUGUGGUGAGGCUUCGAAAUCUGAAGGAGGAAGAAAAAAAAAGAAAAAGAGAAAAAGAGAGCACAGCUCUGUUACAAAGUGAGCUCUACGAUUCGAGGACAGAGACGGAGAGGGAGAAGAGCUGGCCUGCAAAGCCAUGGGGCUGGAUGAAAGCACCGACCACAAAACUACAGCUGUUUGUCACCCAAAGGUCACAGCCAAAAAUUAGCCUCAAAAUGUUUAACUUUUACUACAUAAAUGGUGUUUGGGGGUAAGCAGGAGAGAUACAACCAAAAUUUGGGCUGUUUUCUGCUUUUCCCAUGGCAGUAACCCCUCCCACACAGUGCUGGCACCGCUUAUUUAGAAACCUGAAAUCUGCCUCAUCCCUACACUCGGCUUCCUCUGCUUCUUCCCUCGUCAACAGAUGAUAGCAGCAAUCGUGCUGAGGGCAACCUCGCACACAAAACCAUGAAAGAAGAGGUUUCUUCCAUACCAGUCAGCAUGGGUAAGGCUUGAGUUAGGACUCUCCACCCUAAAUAAAGUGUCAGAAAAAGCUUCGUUCCUGGAAAAUACUUUUCUUGUCCCGAAUUAGGAGGAUUUUUGAGAUUCUUCACAUAAAGGGACUAACGGUUUACCCACAAACGUGGAAAAGCUCAGACUGGACUCUCACCUUUCCUGUCCAGCGGUGUCCCAAAGCUGGAGGUGCACCUUGAAGGCUUUUCCUGGAGAUCCAUUUGCUCCUCUGCUAUUGUACACCUAACAAGAGAGAGCAAUCAGUAAACGCAUGACUCUUUUGGCUCGUGGCGCCCAAAGAAAGCACCGUGACCUUUUUUCUGCUCAAUUCCUCCUUGAACAAAAGCAACAUGUACACGAACUGUUACAGUAAAAGACAGGAGGAAAAAAAAAAACACAAAUAGGAACCAUUUUUGCUCUCUGAGCUUGCUCAGCAGACUCUUAGCGACUUUAAAAGCAGGGAAAUGUUGUCCCUGAAUUGCCGAGAAGAACCAGCAGAUCGACCACACACCACGCUUUGUGAGUUAAGUAAGUGAAUAAAUAAAUAAAAAUAAAUAACUGAAGCAUGCUCCUGCAAUACCCAGUGCUGUAAGCAGGGAAUUUCACGGGCUCAAUUUUUUUAAUAUGACUUCUUUGCAACAGAAUUGAACCUUUUGGAGCUCCUUCUUAAAAGGCCAUCUUAUUCAGACGGACUUUCCAGAUGUUUUAAAGCUUUUAAUUGCAUGUAAGGCACAGUUUCGUCCAUCCUUAUCAGCGAUCUCACCCCCAAAACGUACGCCAGUGGAAAAUUACCGAAGAAAUCCGCCCGCAACCCUUAGCAGAAAAGUUCAGCCCCCUGGAAGGAAGCCAGCACCCGUCUUCAAAACACGCUAACAAGCGUCUCGACGAGGCAGGGAACGAGCACUCCGGCGAGCUGCGUGUUCAGACGUCUCCUUGCAAGAAAACUGCUUUUCAUAUUUUCCUCUCGCUCCACCAGGGGAACCCAGCGGUGCGGUGGAGGAUCCGGGUUCCCCUGGUUCCCCUCCGACCUGUGCGUCGUGCUUAACCGGUCUGAACUGCUGGAGCCCUGAUUAGGGUUAAUUUAAGAUGUAAUCCAUUUUAUUCCACCUCAGGCCUAAUGAUUAAGUCUCCAGUGCUGCUGAUUUACAAGAGUUCCCUACUAAUUGCCUGGUUCCCCACGGACCUGAAUACACCUAGCGUGUCCCGACCACACCAUAAACCCGUGGGCUCCUAUGGCUCAAGCAAGGGACUGAAAAAUGUGUGAUUUACCCCUAAAAUCCACGCAGGGCAGGGGACCAAGAAAUGUAUGAUUUAGCCCUAAAACCCAUACGGGGCCAUCUCUUCAGUGGGGCUGGCACGUAGCCUUCACGAUGGCACCACCGAACUCAACACCACAGCCAUAAAUGCUCUCAGCCAUUAAAAAAAGUUAUUAAAAAGGAAAAGCUGCCCGGAUCUGCCCCUCUCCAGGCUGAAAAGCUCUCCACAAGCAGUGGUUUUUCUGCCCCUUUAGCAUCUCGGCAUUGUCAAGACUUCCAAGGACUUUUCAUGCAAAAUCCUUCAAGUAUUUAAAUU